AUGGCGCCCGCGCUGAGCAGGACCCUGGGCCCGUCGUCGGUGGCGGCGCUGCGGCCGAGCCCGUCGCGGGGGCCGCCGCGGGCCGCGCUCGCGCCGCAGGGGAGGAGGCCCGCCGGCGCCAGAGGGGUCAGGUGGGAGGCCGGGAGGGGCCGGCUGGUCGGGGCGAGGUGCGCCUCCGCCGUCGCCGAGAAGGCCGCCGGCGAGGAGGAGGAGGCCGCCGGGGAGGAGUUCGAGUACCAGGCCGAGGUUAGCCGGUUGAUGGAUUUGAUUGUUCACAGCCUCUACAGCCACAAGGAAGUGUUCCUUCGGGAGCUUGUAAGUAAUGCGAGUGAUGCUUUGGAUAAGCUGAGAUUUCUCAGUGUAACUGACCCAUCCGUGCUGGCUGAUGGUGGUGACAUGGAAAUAAGGAUUAAACCUGACCCUGAUGCUGGCACAAUAACUAUCACUGAUAGUGGCAUUGGGAUGACAAAGGAUGAGCUCAAGGACUGCCUUGGAACUAUUGCGCAAAGUGGUACCUCCAAAUUUUUGAAGGCUCUGAAGGAGAACAAAGAGCUUGGCUCAGAUAAUGGACUUAUUGGUCAAUUUGGUGUUGGAUUUUAUUCGGCUUUUCUUGUUGCAGAGAAGGUUGUUGUGUCCACUAAGAGUCCCAAGACAGAUAAGCAGUAUAUAUGGGAAGCUGAGGCUAACAGUAGCUCAUACGUUAUCAGGGAAGAGACUGAUCCUGAGAAAAUGCUGACACGUGGAACACAGAUUACUCUCUUUUUAAGAGAGGAGGAUAAGUAUGAAUUUGCUGAACCUACGAGGAUUCAAGGUCUAGUUAAGAACUAUUCGCAGUUUGUUUCGUUCCCCAUUUUUACAUGGCAAGAGAAAUCUAGAACAGUUGAGGUUGAAGAAGAGGAGUCAAAAGAAACUGAAGAGACAGCAGAGGGUGAGAAGGAGAAGAAGAAGAAAACUAUCACUGAGAAGUACUGGGAUUGGGAAUUAGCAAAUGAAACGAAGCCAAUAUGGAUGAGAAAUCCAAAGGAAGUUGAGGAAACCGAAUACAAUGAAUUUUACAAGAAGGCAUUCAAUGAGUUUUUGGAUCCUCUAGCUCAUGCACACUUCACAACAGAGGGUGAGGUGGAAUUUAGGAGUGUUCUCUACAUCCCAGGAAUGGCACCACUUAGCAACGAGGAGAUAAUGAACCCUAAGACCAAAAAUAUCAGGUUGUAUGUCAAGAGGGUUUUCAUUUCUGAUGACUUUGAUGGCGAGCUGUUCCCCAGGUACUUGAGCUUUGUCAAAGGUGUUGUUGACUCAAAUGAUCUCCCUCUGAAUGUUUCUCGUGAGAUUCUUCAAGAAAGUCGUAUUGUCAGGAUCAUGCGCAAGAGACUUGUUAGGAAGACUUUUGAUAUGAUUCAGGAUAUUGCUGACAAGGAUAGCAAGGAGGACUACAAGAAAUUUUGGGAGAGCUUUGGCAAAUUUAUGAAACUUGGUUGCAUUGAGGACUCUGGAAAUCAGAAGCGCCUUGCUCCUUUGCUGCGGUUUUAUUCCUCGAAAAAUGAAACGGAUUUGAUAAGUCUGGACCAGUAUGUGGAGAAUAUGCCCGAGACCCAGAAGGCAAUCUAUUAUAUUGCUACAGAUAGUCUUCAGAGUGCAAAGACUGCUCCUUUCUUGGAAAAGCUGCUUCAGAAAGAUAUUGAAGUUCUAUACCUUAUCGAGCCGAUUGAUGAGGUAGCUAUUCAGAAUCUGCAGACGUACAAAGAGAAAAAGUUUGUUGAUAUCAGCAAGGAAGACCUAGAAUUGGGCGAUGAGGAUGAGGACAAGGAAGAAACCAAGCAGGAAUACACUCUUCUUUGUGACUGGAUAAAGCAGCAGCUGGGUGACAAAGUUGCCAAGGUCCAAAUUUCGAAGCGACUCAGCUCUUCACCAUGUGUUCUUGUAUCUGGCAAGUUUGGUUGGUCGGCUAACAUGGAAAGGCUUAUGAAAGCACAAACGCUUGGUGACACAUCAAGCUUGGAGUUCAUGAGAGGAAGAAGAAUUUUUGAAAUCAAUCCCGACCACCCUAUUGUCAAGGACUUGAGUGCUGCUUGCAAGAACGAGCCUGAGAGCACCGAAGCCAAGAGGGCAGUUGAGUUGCUGUACGAGACUGCCCUGAUCUCCAGUGGAUACACUCCUGAGAGUCCAGCGGAGUUGGGGGGCAAGAUCUACGAGAUGAUGACCAUCGCCCUUGGCGGGAGAUGGGGUCGAUCCGGCACCGAGGAGGCUGAGACCAAUGCCGACGUCGACUCUUCUGAAGGUGUUGUCACGGAGGUCGUUGAGCCAUCCGAAGUCAGGACUGAGAAUGAGAAUGACCCAUGGAGAGAUUAG
rnacentral:rRNA from 1 species